GAAAUUCGUAUCAAACCUGAUGCCGACAGUGGUACUAUCACUAUAACAGAUACUGGUAUUGGAAUGACUAAAGAAGAGCUCAUUGACUGUCUCGGAACUAUCGCUCAGAGUGGCACUUCAAGAUUCUUGAAGGCCCUUAAGG